CGCCGCCGUGCGGGAGAGUUCCGGGUUUCGUCCCGGACGCCGAAGGAGCAGCACCUCCCCGUCAAUCUCUCAGGCAUCAGGGACCGUACGGAGUUC
rnacentral:ncRNA from 2 species